UAGCUAGUUGGUAGGGUAAAGGCCUACCAAGGCGACGAUCGGUAGCUGGUCUGAGAGGAUGACCAGCCACACUGGAACUGAGACACGGUCCAGACUCCUACGGGAGGCAGCAGUGGGGAAUAUUGGACAAUGGGGGCAACCCUGAUCCAGCAAUGCCGCGUGUGUGAAGAAGGCCUGAGGGUUGUAAAGCACUUUCAGUGGGGAGGAGGAUUGAUAGGUUAAGAGCUAAUUAAUUGGACGUUACCCACAGAAGAAGCACCGGCUAACUCCGUGCCAGCAGCCGCGGUAAUACGGAGGGUGCGAGCGUUAAUCGGAAUUACUGGGCGUAAAGGGUGCGUAGGUGGUUGUAUAAGUUAUCUGUGAAAUCCCUGGGCUUAACCUGGGCAGGUCAGAUAAGACUGUAUGACUCGAGUAUGGGAGAGGGUAGUGGAAUUUCCGGUGUAGCGGUGAAAUGUGUAGAGAUCGGAAGGAACACCAGUGGCGAAGGCGGCUACCUGGCCCAAUACUGACACUGAGGCACGAAAGCGUGGGGAGCAAACAGGAUUAGAUACCCUGGUAGUCCACGCUGUAAACGAUGUCAACUAGCUGUUGGUUAUAUGAAUAUAAUUAGUGGCGC
rnacentral:rRNA from 1 species